rnacentral:rRNA from 1 species
UACGAAGGGGGCUAGCGUUGCUCGGAAUCACUGGGCGUAAAGCGCACGUAGGCGGCAUUGCAAGUCGGAUGUGAAAUCUUAUGGCUUAACCAUAAAAGUGCAUCCGAAACUGCAGUGCUUGAGUACUUAAGAGGAUCGCGGAAUUCCCGGUGUAGAGGUGAAAUUCGUAGAUAUCGGGAGGAACACCAGUGGCGAAGGCGGCGAUCUGGGAAGAUACUGACGCUGAGGUGCGAAAGCGUGGGGAGCAAACAGG